AUGCCGGAUCCGGUUAGCAUUACUGCUGCUGUAGGAUGGGGCGUUACCGCACUAGGUUGGCUUGCCUCGCCCAUCGUUCCCAGAAUCCUCAACAAAGGUUUCGCCUUCCUCGGCUUAAACGCGGCGGAGAAGCUCAAGAUAAUCGACACACAGGUUGUACAACUGCAGCGGGUGAUGGAAGUGGUCGACGAGAGCACUUACAGGCUUCGCUUGGAGCCACUGUUAAACGACCUCAGAUCCGCUGUCUACGAAGCCGAAGACAUCUUGGAUAGUGUCGAGUAUCAGCGUCUCAAGAAGCAGAUCCAAGAUGCCAAGUCACAAGGAAGUACGCCUCCAUGUAAGAGGGAUUGGCUGAAGAAGAAUAUUCUUCCGUGUGCCAUGCCGAGCUCCCCAUUCAAAGACAAGGACAGUGGUUUGCCAAAAGUACAGUUGGAGAAGAGCCUAAAGAAGAUAGAAAGCGCCAUAAGUGGUGCAUGUAAAGUUUUGGAACAACUGAACUUGCCAGGCGUAACUAAUGAUAAUGGGAGGCGAGCUGUUGCUACCAAUUCAUGCUGUGCAGUCACUACUGCAGCCCCUCCAAUAGCAGUAUUUGGUCGGGAUCAGGAUCGUGACAAGAUCAUAGCAAUGCUUCAUGAGAAGGAAGACCAGUGUCAAGCAAACAUCGUCAGUGGUAUAUGUUAUUCAGUAAUUGGCAUUCAUGGCGUCGCGGGGUCUGGGAAAUCAACACUUGCACAAUGUGUUUAUGAUCAUGAGAAAAAGCGUAGGCAAGAAAAAAUGGAAGGCCAUUUCGAUAUUGUCAUGUGGAUUCAUGUUUCUCAGAAAUUUGAUUUGGAUUCCAUUUUUAGGGAGAUGUUUGAGGGGGCUACAGGGAAAGCAUGCAAUAACUUCAAUAAUCGUAACACCCUGAAGGAAAAACUGGAGGAUGAACUACGUCGGAAACAGAUUUUGCUGGUACUGGAUGAUGUCUGGUACGACGGUAGGAAUUCGGGAGACCGUGAAGAACUACAGAAGUUAAUUUCCCCUCUGAAUGUUGGAAAGGAAGGAAGCAGAAUCUUGGUGACAAGUCGAACUGAAGCUGCAUUAGUAGCUCUGGGUUCUGUCAAGGAGAGGCGUAUUCCCAUAUCUAACCUGGACGAUGAAGUGUUCCUUGAAAUGUUCUUGCAUUAUGCACUUCGGGAUGCAAGGGUAAGUGACCAUGAUAGAAGUACACUUAAAAUGAUUGGAGAGGACAUUGCAAAAAAGCUGAAGGGAUCACCUCUAGCAGCCAGAACAGUGGGUUCACGGCUCCGUGAGACACAAACUGUUGAGUUUUGGAGGAGUCAGAAAGAUCGGGACCUUAUGAAUGACACGAUGGGAGCUCUAUGGUGGAGCUACCAGUAUCUUGAUGAGCAGGUCAGACGAUGCUUCGCUUACUGCAGUAUUUUUCCCAGGGGGCAUAAGUUGAGACGUGAUGAGUUAGUAAAGUUGUGGGUGGCAGAAGGGUUUAUAAAGACUAGUAAGCCCGAAGAGGAAAUGGAAGAUGUUGCUAAAAAUUAUUUUGAUGAAUUGUUGUCAUCCUCAUUUCUGCAAUUCAGAGGGAAAGAAAAGGUAUAUGAAACUGGACAUGAUCGUGAGGUUGAUUACUUUACAAUUCAUGAUCUGCUUUGUGAUUUAGCAGAGGAGGUUGCUGGGAAAGAUUGCUUCAGGAUAGAGAAAAACUUCAGAGGAAAAGUUCCUCUAGGUGUCCGCUAUCUUUUUGUUGGGACUUGUAAUAUUGAGGUGCUUACUGAGAAAAUAUAUGGGUUGCAAAAUUUGCGCACUCUCAUCAUUGAUGGCAAGAUAAAUGUUGAAUCAGACAAGCACAAAGCCUUCAAGAGUAUGUUCGCUAUGUUCACAAGGCUGACGAAAUUACGGGUACUGAACUUAAGCGUCACUCCAAAUAAUCACACAUUCUCAUUCCCAGAUUCUAUUGGUGAUUUGAGGCAUCUGCGUUAUUUUGCUUUCUGGGUGUACGGAAUGGUCAAGCUAACUUUACCCGGCACCUUUACCAAGCUUUACCACAUGCAGGUGGCAGAUUUUGGUUUUUGUGGUAGUUUGGUACUGUCUUCUAGUGGUGAAGAUAUGAUGAACCUAAUCAACUUGCGCCAUGUAAUCAGCAAGGCAGAUCUGCAACUUGCAAACAUUGGCAGGUUGAUAUUGCUCCAAACGCUACCAUUCUUUAGAUUUAGGAGGGAACGGGGCUAUGAGUCACAUCAGCUGAAAGACCUGAACAAGCUUCAAGGCAAGCUGCUGAUUUGUGGUCUUGAGAAUUUUGAGAGCAAGGAGGAAGCUCUUGAAGUCAAUCUUGCUGGCAAGGAAAAACUCACAGAACUGGUACUUCAGUGGGAUCUUGAUCAGAGCUGCAGUCCAGAGGUUCAAGCAGAGGUACUUGAGGGUCUUUGCCCAUCAAAGUAUAUUGAAAGACUAGAAAUCCGGAAUUACCACGGUAGAAGGUUACCGAGUUGGAUGAUGGGUAAGCAUAAAGGCAGCCCAAAGAACAUGAAAGAGCUUAGCUUCAUCGGAUGGAUCCAACUGGAACCUGCUGCUGAACUUGGGGCUUUCAUUCAUCUUCGCUCUCUACAUGUUGCUAGCUGUAGCUGGGAUGCCUUACCAGGCAAUAUGGAGCACCUCACAGCGCUCAAGCAACUACAUAUACGGUCAUGCGAGAAUAUACGGUCACUUCCAACACUACCCAAGUCUCUUGAGGAGUUUAACGUCUUAAACUGCGGCUUGGAUACCUUACCAAGCAAUAUGGAGCACCUCAAGAAGCUGGCUAUACGUUCAUGCAAGAAUAUGCAGUCGCUUCCAACACUGCCCAAUUCUCUUGAGGAGUUUACCGUCUCAGACUGCAGUAGGGAUGCCUUACGAGGAAAUAUGGAGCACCUCACAUCGCUCAAGAAAUUUGAGAUCUGGAGUUGCAAGAGUGUGUCGUCGCUCCUAACACUGCCAAAGUCUCUUGAGGAGUUUACAGUCGCCUGCAGCAGCUUCAGUGUCUUGCCAGGCAAUAUUGAGCACGUCACAUCACUCAAAAAACUGAAUAUAGAGUCAUGCGAGGAUAUGCGGUCGCUUACAACACUGCCAAAGUCUCUUGAGGAGUUUAUCAUCCUAUACUGCGGCUUGGAUACCUUACCAGGAAAUAUGGAACACCUCACAGCGCUCAAGAUACUGAAGAUCAGAAACUGCAAGAAUAUGCGGUUGCUUCCAACACUGCCCAAGUCCCUUGAGAGGUUUAUCAUUGCGGACUGCGGCUUGAAUGCCUUACCAGGCAAUAUGGAGCAACUCACAUCACUCAAGACGCUGGAGAUAGAUUCAUGCAAGAACAUGUGGUCGCUUCCAAAACUGCCCACGUCUCUUGAGGAGAUUACAGUCAAUUACUGCAGUGACGAGUUCACACAAUCUUGUGUAACGACUGAUGAUCCAAACUGGCAGAAGAUUGAGCACAUUCCAAAGAAAACAAUUACAUUCUGUAGUUAA
rnacentral:rRNA from 1 species